CUCGGCUGCGAUCAGCUGUUCCUACAUAUUUCAUAGAACAGUUUAUUUCACAUUCUUCUUAGUAUAGCAAAUUUAUAAUUUUGUAAAUUUUUUUACGGCCAAGUGAAACAAAAGUUUAUAAACAAAUAUUCAAACUCGACUUUGUGUGGAAAUUAUUGAAAGGGAUAUGUGCAUGCAUAUCAAUUUAAAAGGAAGAAAUAAUCCCAUGUAAGAGGCAAUUGUGGGGAAUAUAAGAGAAGCAGCGGUGAUUGGCUGCUACUGCUGUUGCUCAUAACACACGCAGUUACGUUUAUUAUUAAAUGAAUUAUAAAUUACAGCUUGUGCUGAUUGCUAAUUAGUCAUAAAUACAUUACCACGGCCGAUACGAACACAUUCAGUAGAAUUGCUGAUUUCGAUUGGACUAGUCAAACAAGUAAUUUAAUUGCAACAAAUUGUAAUAAUUAGUGGGGGUGGGAAAAGUGAAAGUAAAAAUGUCCUACGACACACUUAAUAUAGAAGGUGAAAAGCGAGAGCCGGCUUUGCUACAAAAACAUGCAAAAUUCUUUGUGAGAUUUUUAAAUUUGCUACCAGCGCGUCUAGCUUCACAUGACUCCACCAGAGGCACCAUUGCAUUCUUUGCCGUGUGUGGUCUGGAUGUGCUGAACUCACUGCCACUACUUACGCCACAAAUGCAAAAGGAUAUAAUCGAAUGGAUUUAUGGUGGUUUGGUAAUUUCACAAGAGGGAGAAAGAAAAAGUUGCAGUGGUUUUCAGGGUUCGCGCUGUGUAAAUAUCAUUUCCGAUGAUGAGCAACUGCUUGCCAAUGCCAGAUGCUAUCAAUGGGGCCACCUUGCGAUGACAUACACCGGUAUUGCCAUAUUAGCAACGCUUGGGGAUGACUUAAGUCGUUUGGAUCGAAAAAACAUUGUCGAUGGUGUCGCGGCAGUACAACGUCCUGAUGGCAGUUUUAGCGCCUGCAUAGAUGGCAGUGAGAACGAUAUGCGUUUCGUAUUUUGUGCAGCUGCCAUUUGCCAUAUGUUGGACUAUUGGGGCAAUGUUGAUAAAGAAAAUAUGUUUCAGUUUAUAAGAAGUUGCAUUCGUUAUGAUAAUGGCUUUAGCCAGUAUCUGGAAGGAGAAGCUCAUGGGGGUACUACAUUUUGUGCAUUAGCUGCGCUUGAGUUGAGUGGCCAGCUGCAUCGCUUGGACGAAACUACGAGGGAAAAUAUAAAACGUUGGCUGAUUUUUAGACAAGUAAAUGGUUUUCAAGGUCGGCCCAACAAAACCGUAGACACUUGCUACUCCUUUUGGAUUGGUGCAGCGCUGCGUAUUUUAGGUGCCUUCGAACUAAUCAAUUAUGCUGAGAAUCGCGCAUAUAUUAUGGAAACACAAGACGGCAUAGUAGGUGGCUUCUCCAAAUGGCCACAAUCUACAACCGACCCAUUCCAUACAUACUUUGGCCUUUGUGGUCUAUCGUUUAUGAAUGAGCCUGGUUUAUUGGAAGUUAUGCCCAGUUUGAAUAUAUCUACACGCGCUUAUAAUCGCCUGAGGCAACUUCAUGCGAAGUGGCAAAUUGAUAGUGCAGAUGAAACAUUUCCAAGUCACGACACGCCGGUAUCAAAGCUCAGCAGUGAUGAAAAUUCAACGUCCGUUACCUCGCCGCUUAUAGCAGCACAAUAAUGCGCAUUUGUUCUAGCCUCUAUAUAAAAAUAUAUUAAGCUAAAAUGAUGUUGCUGGAAGUGAUUCAUGAUCGGUUGCGCAUUUGUUUUAUCGGACGCUUUUUUGCAGCUUACAUAUUUUCCAGCCCAGUCUUUUUGCUAACAAUUUAUUAAAGAAAUAACUCGAUCAGUUUUAUUUUAUACUCUAUAAAUGUCUGAUUCUAAUGCAUUCGUCCUUUGCAUUAAUUAAAAAAAUUCAAUUGUCCAUGAUAACAGUCAAGUGUACACGGUUCAGUUAAGUCGAGAGAAUCCAAUCGUAUUACAUGUGUCGAGGGAAACUAUUGUGAAAGCAUAAGCACAACUAUUUUUUAAUAGUAUUUAAUUAUAUUUGUCGGUAUUGCAAAUAAAAUCUUACAAAUAAAUUUAACUUAAAAUAUUUUCUAUAGAGAAUCACACAAA